rnacentral:rRNA from 1 species
CGCACGGGUGCGUAACGCGUGGGAAUCUGCCCCUGGGUUCGGAAUAACAGCGAGAAAUUGCUGCUAAUACCGGAUGAUGACGAAAGUCCAAAGAUUUAUCGCCCAGGGAUGAGCCCGCGUAGGAUUAGCUAGUUGGUGAGGUAAGAGCUCACCAAGGCGACGAUCCUUAGCUGGUCUGAGAGGAUGAUCAGCCACACUGGGACUGAGACACGGCCCAGACUCCUACGGGAGGCAGCAGCG